CUCCCUCCUCCUCCUCCUCCUCCUCCUCCUCCCUCCCUCCCUCCUCCUCCUCCUCCUCCUCCUCCUCCUCCUCCUCCUCCUCUUCCUCUUUCUUCUCCUCCUUCUUUUCUUCCUCCUCCUCUUUCCCCUCCCCCUCAGCCUUCGCCUCCUCCUCUACCAGCACCACUCCCUCUGGGGCACCAGGGUCCCUGCAGAUUCCCCGGGCCUGGCCGCCUGCCUCCACGCGGGCCCCGGGACCCGAGCCCGCUGCGCCGGAGCUGGUAGGACACACGGACAGACAGACGCGGAGAUUCCUCUCGCUCGCCGCUCUGCCACUGCUGCCCUCCGCGGCCCGCGUCGGUGGAGCCGAGAUCGCCCGGGGGUUCUGCGCGGCCUCCCGCUUUUUCUGUCUGAGAGGGUGCUCGCCUUGUUCCCUAAAACAAUUCCUCGUGGGCCACUGGGAUCCAGGCUCCUAGGACAAGGGAGAAGCUGAUGCGGGCUGGGUUGCAGUGCAAAUCCAGGACUCUCAACUAGAGACUGCAGAUCGCGUCUCCAGUUCCAGGCCGUGUCCGCAUUUUCGAGCUCGCCUUCAGUUUUGGGAUGAUUUUAGGGCCGAGUUCUCGGUCCCCAUUGGCUCGUGCUGUGGCAUAAUUAUGAUCACAUCCCCCAGGCUGCUGGCGCUGCUCUCUGUUUAUUGGUGGUUAAAGAUCUAUUAUCUAUUCAUCAGCCGCCUCUUUUUUCCUCUCCCCCUCCCUUUUGCCAAUUACAUUCUUAUAAAGUGAAGUACCAGCAGGUAUUUUGCAAUUAAUAAUAAAAAAUGCUGGCGUCUUUUAAAUCUAUUACAACCAGGCCUGGGUCAUUUAUUUUAAGGAGGAAGAAAUGCCUGUGUUUCCUGGCUAGGUUGCUGUGAGACCUGGGAGAAGUCUAUCAGAAGUACAGACCCCAAAAGGGAAGCCGCAACUCCACCAGAUUCAACCAAGGAUCAGGAGUCCUAGGACAUGCUCCAGGGUCCCCCAGCUUCUCCAUUCCUUGCCCUCUGGUCUUCUCUUUACCUCCGCUGGUCUCAUCCACUGCUAUGUAUUUGGUUCUACCAAUUUCUUGACUUUAUUCCAGGUACUGUACUGUGUUGUGUGGAGGAGGGGGAAAUGACCAGAAACAUCCUUGAGAAACCUUCCAGACAAAAGAGAAGUUGGGAGAGGUGCUUUCUGGUGUUGUUGGAGUUCCAAAUAGAUUAGCUGGGAGCUCCAGAGAUCACCUGUCUUGUACCCCUCGAUCUUUUCAGGGCACAUAAGCAUGCGGGUGCACACACACACACACACACACACACACAUUUACUCUGGGGAUCCUUGUGGUCCUCAGCUUUGGCCUCACUGUGGGAUAAACUGGCUGCUGCCUCAGGCUUUGGACCUCUGCACCAUGGCUCCAGGCUGGGGCCCUGCCUGAGUUCUCCCUCUUUGUUCCAGGUGGCCAUGCUUUGGACCUUUUUUUCCACACUCAGAUUCUGAGCAUUGGGUCCAGCACCUUGGCAUGCAGGUGAACCCAAAGACUACUCUCCUCAGGCCUGGACCGUCAUCCCCCAAAAUACUUUCUCCGGGCCCGGCAGGCAGUACCCCUGACUAGGCUGUGGAGACAGAGGCACCACUUGCCUGCGCCAGCAAGGAGCCUUGAAGUCCCCAUGAAGUGAAGGGUGGAGGUCUUUGGGCCAGCAAGCUCCAGUAGAGAUAGGAGUCAGUCCUAGAGUUUCUGAAGCUGGAAACAAACACCCAGUUUGGGCAGACUGCAACCAGGAUCCUGAGGUAAGAGAGAGAGGCCACUUUUCUGUGUGAUCUUCUGUAGGACUGCAGGGUAGAGCCAGGCUUCAGCAUUCAGCCUCCAGUGCUCCAAACCAAGGCCACUGAAAGCCCGCCCAGAUCAUGGGGCGGGAAAUGGCCAUUUAUUGCAGUUGGCAUUAGCAAUGUUGGCUGGGGGUAUAAAAGUCAUUGACCAAGGGGACUACAGUCCUGGUGAGACCCCAGCAGUGUGUGGUAAGUAAAUGUAGGUAAAAUGUUCAGCACUGGGUCCUUAAGGUGUAACCGGUAGCUUUCACCUCUUUAGCCAGGACACUGGGCAAGUGUUCUAAGGGAGCCAGCUGGUGACCGGGCCUCUCAACCUCUUGUUCUGGGGGAAAAUUUUGGCAGAGCAGAUGAGAGAUGGCUCAAGGGCCAAGUCAGGUCCUGUGGCAUCCUCCACAAGCCACCUACCUCUUGGAAACUGCCCUUCGAAGGCCAGGAUUGCUCCAGGUCUCUGGCUGGUGGGCAGGUGGGAGAGAGCAAGGGAGGUGCCCACCUUUUUGAAGGAGGAAAAGCUAGCCAGUUCUGCUCCAAGCUCAGGGUCUGAGUCCAAGCUCGGGCCCCAGGGCGCUGCUGGGCCCUCCGUGAGUGGACAUUAACUAGCAGAGUAACUCAUUAAUUGCACUGGCCAGAGGAGGCUGGGCGCUCAGGGCUGGACUCAGACCCUGAGCUCUCAGGUCAUGGGCCUGCCGCUUACUUUGCUCAUGGCUUUGGGCCUCUCAGAAUCCGACCCUCUUUUGUUCCUAAGCCAUCCAGAGAGUGGGUAUUUGGUUAAGUAUCUGUGCCUGCAUCGGGGCUUCCUUCCUUCCUUGGUAGACUCAGGAAUCUCGACUCUGCAGGCAGCUGGACCAGCAGACACAUACAAUGGUUCCAUUCCCGGAAUUUUUACUAACUGAAGGAUUUUGGGCAACACCACAACCUCUCCGACCUCAUUUUGUCAUGUGCAGAAAUACAGCCAAUGCUGCCUGAGAAGCUGGAGAGGGUAGCAGUGACGCUGUCAGGGAAGGGGAUGAGUAAUCCAAAGUCUCUACUUUCUGAUUUUGAUGCUAUCCACACCACUGUGGUUUUGGAAACUCAGAACUCCAUGAACAGUGCAAAGUGUGAAUUUUACUGUGUGUAAUUACAUCUUAAUAAAACUGCCCCCUCCAAAAAAAAGAGAGACUUGUAUUCACAGAAUUAUUGUGUGACCUUGGUCAGGUUACUUAACCCCUCUGUGCCUCUGUUCUUCUUCCCUCGAAUGGGAAUAAGGACUAGUAUGUCGAUCCUUGGAAUUAUUUAAUGAGAAAAACUAAAGCGUUC
ensembl:lncRNA